UUCUACGUCCAUACCACUUGGAAAGCACCAGUUCUCAUCUGAUCACUGAAGUUAAAACAAGUCAGGCAAAGUUAGUACUUGGAUGGGUGACCUCUUGAGAAUACUUUGUGUUGUAGGCU